rnacentral:rRNA from 1 species
GUUAGGAAUAUUGGACAAUGGGUGAAAGCCUGAUCCAGCCAUGCCGCGUGAACGAUGAAGGCCUUCGGGUUGUAAAGUUCUUUAGCCGAUGAUUAUAAUGACUGUAGUCGGAAAAUAAGCCCCGGCUAACUUCGUGCCAGCAGCCGCGGUAAUACGAAGGGGGCGAGCGUUAUUCGGAAUCACUGGGCGUAAAGCGUGCGUAGGCGGUUUUGUAAGUUAGGAGUGAAAGCCCAGGGCUCAACCUUGGAAUUGCUCUUAAAACUGCAAGGCUAGAAUCUCGGAGAGGAUAGCGGAAUUUCCAGUGUAGCAGUGAAAUGCGUAGAUAUUGGAAGGAACACCAGUGGCGUAAGCGGCUAUCUGGACGAGUAUUGACGCUGAGGCACGAAAGCGUGGGUAUCAAACAGGAUUAGAAACCCUGGUAGUCC